GAUGAAGAACGUAGCGAAAUGCGAUAAGUAAUGUGAAUUGCUGAAUUCAGUGAAUCAUCGAAUCUUUGAACGCACAUUGCGCCCGCCAGUAUUCUGGCGGGCAUGCCUGUCCGAGCGUCAUUUCAACCCUCGAACCCCUCCGGGGGGUCGGCGUUGGGGAUCGGGAACCCCUAAGACGGGAUCCCGGCCCCGAAAUACAGUGGCGGUCUCGCCGCAGCCUCUCCUGCGCAGUAGUUUGCACAACUCGCACCGGGAGCGCGGCGCGUCCACGUCCGUAAAACACCCAACUUCUGAAAUGUUGACCUCGGAUCAGGUAGGAAUACCCGCUGAACUUAAGCAUAUCAAUAAGCGGAGGA
rnacentral:misc_RNA from 1 species